UACAGAGGUCCCAAGCGUUGUUCGGAUUCACUGGGCGUAAAGGGUGCGUAGGUGGUGAGGUAAGUCGGAUGUGAAAGCUCGGAGCUCAACUCCGAAAUGGCAUUGGAAACUACCUUGCUCGAGGGUUGGAGGGGGGACUGGAAUACUUGGUGUAGCAGUGAAAUGCGUAGAUAUCAAGUGGAACACCAGUGGCGAAGGCGGCCUUCUGGACAGCAUCUGACGCUGAGACGCGAAAGCGUGGGGAGCAAACAGG
rnacentral:rRNA from 1 species